rnacentral:misc_RNA from 1 species
GGGGAGGAAUUGAGAUGUCGAAUCUUGUCUUGGUCACAUAACUUCUGGAUCUUUGGGCCAUUCAAGUUCUUGGCGUUGUCAGUGACAAUUUCAUUGGGGAGACCGUGUCGGCAGAUAAUAUUAUUUCUGAGGAAUUUGAGGAAUGUGUUCUGUGUAAUGUGAGCAUAUGAUGUCGCUUCGACCCAUUUAGAAAAAUAAUCGAUAGCCACCAGGAUAAAUCUAUGCCCAUUGGAUGCCCCAGAGGGGAAUUCUCUGGUUCUGAUGUAGAGCAAGAUGUCAUGGUACCAAGGUUUACCAUCAGGUUCUUCCUCAAUCAUGAAGCAGUAAGCCGGCUCACUUCUUGC